AUCCAGCUCACGAGUCCCAAAUAGGACGAAACGUGCGUCAAACUGGAU
rfam:Schistosoma mansoni, Puerto Rico, WGS project CABG01000000 data, contig: 0174